rnacentral:rRNA from 1 species
UGAGCAAUCUGCCCUUCACAUCGGAAUAACCAUUGGAAACGAUGGCUAAUACCGAAUACGACCUCCUUUCGCAUGAUCGGAGGUGGAAAGCUCCGGCGGAGAAGGAUGAGCUCGCGGCCUAUCAGCUAGUUGGUGUGGGUAAUGGCCCACAAGGCGACGACGGGUAGCCGGCCUGAGAGGGUGACCCGGCCACACUGGGACUGAGACACGGCCCAGACCUCCGUACGGGAGCA